rnacentral:tRNA from 1 species
GCGGUGCUGCGGGACCGGAGACUCGGCCGGUUCUGGACCGACCGGCAACCGGCCGGCGUGUGGGAGCCGUUCAACACGCUGCACCGCA